UACAGAGGGGGCGAGCGUUAUUCGGAAUUAUUGGGCGUAAAGGGCGCGUAGGCGACUUUUCAAGUGACGGGUGAAAUCCCUCGGCUUAACCGAGGAACUGCCUGUCAGACUGGAAGGCUUGAGACCGGGAGAGGUGAGUGGAAUUCCCAGUGUAGCGGUGAAAUGCGUAGAUAUUGGGAGGAACACCAGUGGCGAAGGCGGCUCACUGGACCGGAACUGACGCUGAGGCGCGAAAGCGUGGGGAGCAAACAGG
rnacentral:rRNA from 1 species